GCGAGCGGCGGACGGGUGAGUAAUGUCUGGGAAACUGCCUGAUGGAGGGGGAUAACUACUGGAAACGGUAGCUAAUACCGCAUAACGUCUUCGGACCAAAGUGGGGGACCUUCGGGCCUCACGCCAUCGGAUGUGCCCAGAUGGGAUUAGCUAGUAGGUGGGGUAAUGGCUCACCUAGGCGACGAUCCCUAGCUGGUCUGAGAGGAUGACCAGCCACACUGGAACUGAGACACGGUCCAGACUCCUACGGGAGGCAGCAGUGGGGAAUAUUGCACAAUGGGCGCAAGCCUGAUGCAGCCAUGCCGCGUGUGUGAAGAAGGCCUUCGGGUUGUAAAGCACUUUCAGCGAGGAGGAAGGCAUAAAGGUUAAUAACCUUUGUGAUUGACGUUACUCGCAGAAGAAGCACCGGCUAACUCCGUGCCAGCAGCCGCGGUAAUACGGAGGGUGCAAG
rnacentral:rRNA from 1 species